AAAAUAUCUCUGCUCAGAUGGCAGCUGCCAGGGACACCUCCAAGAGGAGCCUGGACAUUGCAGGAGAAGGAACUUCAGUCUAGGACUCCCUCUUCUUGCUUUAGAUCAAGGGAAGAGGAAGCAAAGUGACUCACAACAAGCAGAAGCACUGGAAGAAAACCAAGAUUUCUUUUCCAUCCAGUUAACAUUCAGUGCUGUAGGCUGCAUGACAUCUUUGAGCUAACGUUACUCAUUUCUUAAGAAACCAGAAGGAAAAAGUGAUGGGAAGCAAGAAGAAAGAAUGGCUAAAAUAAAUAAGUUGAGCUGACACUGUAUCUGCUUUCA
rnacentral:lncRNA from 1 species